rnacentral:lncRNA from 1 species
GGAUAUUGAGGUGAAUGGUAGAAAAGUUGGAGUGCACCAAGGGAAUGGGCACUUCGAUCUUAAGGAGUGGAAGACACUAAGAGUUGGAGAUAUAUUAAAGGUGGAGAAAAACGAUUUCUUUCCGGCAGACCUUGUCCUGCUUUCAUCUAGCUACGAGGACGCUGUUUGCUACGUAGAGACAAUGAACCUCGACGGGGAAACAAAUCUGAAACUCAAACAAGGACUUGAAGUAACCAUGUCACUGCGCGAAGAAGUUGACUUCAGAGACUUCGAGGCUUUUAUCAAAUGCGAGGAUCCUAACGCUAACUUGUAUUCCUUUGUCGGCACUAUGGAGCUCAAGGGAGAAAAGCACCCUCUCUCGCCGCAACAGCUUCUUCUAAGAGGCUCAAAACUCAGGAACACAGAGUAUAUCUAUGGGGCUGUUAUCUUCACGGGUCCUGACACAAAGGUAGUCCAGAACUCAACGGAGCCUCCUUCAAAGAGAAGCAUGAUCGAGAGGAAGAUGGAUAAGAUCAUAUACCUCAUGUUCCUUAUGGUAGUUUCAUUGGCCUUCCUCGGUGCGAUUUUGUUUGGGAUAGUACUGCAACCAACCUGAAUCAGCUGAUUACUGCGACAACUACGUGAGGACCACCAAGUACACUCCCGCCAGUUUCCUCCCUAAAUCACUCUUCGAGCAGUUCAGGAGAGUCGCCAACUUCUACUUCCUUGUCGUUGGGAUCUUGUCUUUCACUCCUCUCGCUCCUUACACAGCUGUGAGCGCCAUUGUUCCCUUGACUUUCGUCAUCCUUGCUACUAUGGUUAAAGAAGGUGUCGAAGAUUGGCGUAGGAAACAGCAGGUACCCUUUCAUGUUGGUUCAACUUGAAAUGAGUGGUGGUUGAUAGAUUAGAAAAGGACUUGAUGAUCCUCAAUGUUCAAAAAAUCGCUAGGCGGUGGUUAGACGCUUUAUAGGAGAUUAUUGAUUAGGCGGAUGCCUAAACCAAGCUCCACCUAGACCGAUUUUGUAGAACACAUGGAUCUUACUAGGAUGCUAGCUUUUAAAUGAAACAUGUGUUGUUAUAUUGUUCCGGAUCUGUGGUUUAGGUUGGAAUAAGUUACAUUGCUCAGAACUAAAGUAUUACUCUCUACUUCAGUCGCAGAUUGAUCUUUAGUUUAGGUUGGAUUAAGUUACAUUGCUCUGAAGGCGGGCGCGUAGACCGAUUUUUUGAUUAAAAUAUCAGCUUAAAAUUCAUUUCGUUUAUAUUCGAUUUGCCGCCUAGACCGCUUUUUAGAACAUUGCUCUGAACUGUGAUUUAAGUAUUACUCUCUACUUCAUUUGCAGAUUGAUAUAAUUCUGAUUGAAAUUAUCGUGCUUUUUAGGAUAUUGAGGUGAAUGGUAGAAAAGUUGGAGUGCACCAAGGGAAUGGGCACUUCGAUCUUAAGGAGUGGAAGACACUAAGAGUUGGAGAUAUAUUAAAGGUGGAGAAAAACGAUUUCUUUCCGGCAGACCUUGUCCUGCUUUCAUCUAGCUACGAGGACGCUGUUUGCUACGUAGAGACAAUGAACCUCGACGGGGAAACAAAUCUGAAACUCAAACAAGGACUUGAAGUAACCAUGUCACUGCGCGAAGAAGUUGACUUCAGAGACUUCGAGGCUUUUAUCAAAUGCGAGGAUCCUAACGCUAACUUGUAUUCCUUUGUCGGCACU